UACGUAGGGGGCAAGCGUUGUCCGGAUUUAUUGGGCGUAAAGAGCGUGUAGGCGGUUCGGUAGGUCCGUUGUGAAAACUCGAGGCUCAACCUCGAGACGCCGAUGGAAACCCUCGAACUAGAGUCCGGAAGAGGAGAAUGGAAUUCCUGGUGUAGCGGUGAAAUGUGUAGAUAUUCGGAAGAACACCAGUGGCGAAGGCAGCACGUUGGCGCUCGAUUGACGCUCAGGCACGAAAGCAUGGGGAUCAAACAGG
rnacentral:rRNA from 1 species